AAUUUGCCGCCAUUUUUUACUCUCAUGCUUUGCUUAACCAUCUAUAGUUACAUUAUCUAGGUUGGACUUGUGAUUACUGAUGUAUUUAUUGGGUAAAAAAAAACUGAUACUGGCAACAUUCUCAAGUUGUCAUCCAACAAACCAAGCUAACGGCCGAAUGUGAUCUGCUCGUGUACUGUUCUGUGCUCUUUUCGCUCGUUUUUUUGCGUCGUUGUCAUUGCUGUGAAAGUGUUAUGGUGGUAAAAUUAACUUGGUGAUUGCAAUCGCAAGUAUACCUACUAAAAUAAUGGAAGAAGACACAGAAAACAAAUUGGUAUCCUGGGAUUUGCCGUCAGUAGUCGUCGAGAACUUUAAAACAACAUCAAACCAGAAGAAUUCAAUUUGCUAGCUGCAAAAAUAGUUUCACUUUUCCCAACUGAAAGUAUAUAUACCUACUAUAUGAAAGCUGUGCCAACAUGCAAAUCUGCUUCAAGAAAAUAUGUGCCCGCUAAAGGCACAUUAGUGGACAAGGUUCGAAAUCUCCUGUACAUAUCAGGAGAAAAGUGCAGGGGCUUAAACCCACUUGCUCUAAUAGGGAUUCGGAUACAGAUGUAGAGUCUGUGGAAAAUAAUCAAGGGACUGCUUCAAAUGACGACGCUAUUUGGCUGAAAUAUAAUGAGCUAUGGGACCAAGUUUGUGAAAGGUGGAAUAACACCUUUGAAUUAAGACACAAACAAUUGAAACUGUACAUGAUUUUCUUGAAACCUGGGCCAUUUGAAAAGACAGCAAAGUAGAUACUCUGCAAUGACAACGACGCAAAAAAACGAACGAAAAGAAAAAGAGCACACAAGCAGAUCACAUUCAGCCAUUAGCAUUCAGUUUGUUGGAUGACAACUUGAAAAUGUUCAAAUUCAAAUGGGAUUCAAGUUCAACCCAGGACCUUGUACUUCAUAGGCAGAGUCACUACCCACGAAGAAAGAUACAGAGGCCGUUAAAACACAAAAUAAUUCCGGUGCAGAUUUACCUGCUAUAUUUUUUAAUACCACCCAAAGGCCGGAAAUCUAGGAAAGUCAAAUUCUCAACCACUGAAUCAAUCCAGGGCUUAUUAGUUCAGAUAGAUGACGCCGGAGAUAUCGACAGCGUAAUCGCAGCCCAGAAAGCUAAGGCUGCAGCCCGGAAGGAUACCGUGCAACCCUCCGUGCUCAUACAACGACCGCUACAAAACUUCGCCCAGAUAUACAUCGUUAUUCAUGAUAUCAAAUACCACGUGCAUUCAGCUGCAAAGACGUUCGACUUGUUGUUUAAGAUUUACCACGUUUUUCACGCCAAGUAUCCCCAAGUGUGUGAGCACCUCCACGUAAUUAUUCAAAAAAAGUGUAUCAAAUCCAUACGGCGUAUGAUACAGUAGGUACCACCGUAUAUAGUUGACGUUUUAAACUUAGACGUUUUAAUUUUAUUAUAGUAUAGGAUCCGUACUAAGCUCGAUCUUCACCAACGUGUUAACCAGAUGAAAAUAAGUUUCUGAACAUGUCUCCUCAAUAAAAAUGAAUGGUCAAGAUUAUU
rnacentral:lncRNA from 1 species